GGGGUUGUUGCUCAGUGGUAGAGUGUGCACCUUGCACGUGUGAGGUACUCGGUUCGAUCCUCAGCACCACA
rnacentral:tRNA from 1 species